GCGGCCGCAAUCAAACUGAAUAAGCGGAAUAGAAUAGAGGUAGUACAAGCCUAGGCCCCAACCUCCAGUCACGA
rnacentral:lncRNA from 1 species